rnacentral:lncRNA from 1 species
CAGAUCCCGGAGCCUGCCGCCUGCCCACGCCCCACUCCACACCAGCUCCCCAUCCCCUCCGCAGGGCCCCUGGCGGCCACCCUUCCACUCUCCAGGGGUUGGACGCCGCUCUGAAAGGCAGCAUUGAUCUGGGACUGGCUGGUUUCGCUUCGCACGACGUCCUCGCACUCCUCCGGGUGGUGGCUUACUUUGUGACAAGUGUUCCUUCAGUUAAAGCGGAAUCUGCUCCCCUGUGCACAUCUACCAACCUGCCCACCUGCUGACGGCCAUUGUGUGCAGCGCUGUGGCGACCUGACAGUUCCUCCAGGAGUCUGACGUCAGUUCUUUUGGAUAUAUACCAGAACCGGGACUGCUCACUGCCCGACCAUAGGAUGGUUCUAUUUUUCAGUUUUUGAGACACCUCUAUAUUGUUUUCCUUAAGGGCUGCUCCAUUUUACACAUUUUACAUUCUCACCAAUAGUACACCAAGGCUCCGAUUUCCCCAAAUCUUUGAAAUACUUGUUAUUGUGUGUCAUUGUUUGUUGUUGUUGUUGUUGUUUUUUAAUUGGCCACCCUAAUGAAUUCCUGAGGUGGCAUCUCAGCGGUUUUGAUUGUCU